rnacentral:rRNA from 1 species
CAGGCUUAACACAUGCAAGUCGAGGGGCAGCAUGGUCUUAGCUUGCUAAGGCCGAUGGCGACCGGCGCACGGGUGAGUAACACGUAUCCAACCUGCCGUCUACUCUUGGACAGCCUUCUGAAAGGAAGAUUAAUACAAGAUGGCAUCAUGAGUCCGCAUGUUCACAUGAUUAAAGGUAUUCCGGUAGACGAUGGAGAUGCGUUCCAUUAGAUAGUAGGCGGGGUAACGGCCCACCUAGUCUUCGAUGGAUAGGGGUUCUGAGAGGAAGGUCCCCCACAUUGGAACUGAGACACGGUCCAAACUCCUACGGGAGGCAGCAGUGAGGAAUAUUGGUCAAUGGGCGAGAGCCUGAACCAGCCAAGUAGCGUGAAGGAUGACUGCCCUAUGGGUUGUAAACUUCUUUUAUAAAGGAAUAAAGUCGGGUAUGGAUACCCGUUUGCAUGUACUUUAUGAAUAAGGAUCGGCUAACUCCGUGCCAGCAGCCGCGGUAAUACGGAGGAUCCGAGCGUUAUCCGGAUUUAUUGGGUUUAAAGGGAGCGUAGAUGGAUGUUUAAGUCAGUUGUGAAAGUUUGCGGCUCAACCGUAAAAUUGCAGUUGAUACUGGAUAUCUUGAGUGCAGUUGAGGCAGGCGGAAUUCGUGGUGUAGCGGUGAAAUGCUUAGAUAUCACGAAGAACUCCGAUUGCGAAGGCAGCCUGCUAAGCUGCAACUGACAUUGAGGCUCGAAAGUGUGGGUAUCAAACAGGAUUAGAUACCCUGGUAGUCCACACGGUAAACGAUGAAUACUCGCUGUUUGCGAUAUACUGCAAGCGGCCAAGCGAAAGCGUUAAGUAUUCCACCUGGGGAGUACGCCGGCAACGGUGAAACUCAAAGGAAUUGACGGGGGCCCGCACAAGCGGAGGAACAUGUGGUUUAAUUCGAUGAUACGCGAGGAACCUUACCCGGGCUUAAAUUGCAGAUGAAUUACGGUGAAAGCCGUAAGCCGCAAGGCAUCUGUGAAGGUGCUGCAUGGUUGUCGUCAGCUCGUGCCGUGAGGUGUCGGCUUAAGUGCCAUAACGAGCGCAACCCUUGUUGUCAGUUACUAACAGGUUCCGCUGAGGACUCUGACAAGACUGCCAUCGUAAGAUGUGAGGAAGGUGGGGAUGACGUCAAAUCAGCACGGCCCUUACGUCCGGGGCUACACACGUGUUACAAUGGGGGGUACAGAGGGCCGCUACCACGCGAGUGGAUGCCAAUCCCCAAAACCUCUCUCAGUUCGGACUGGAGUCUGCAACCCGACUCCACGAAGCUGGAUUCGCUAGUAAUCGCGCAUCAGCCACGGCGCGGUGAAUACGUUCCCGGGCCUUGUACACACCGCCCGUCAAGCCAUGGGAGCCGGGGGUACCUGAAGUGCGUAACCGCGAGGAGCGCCCUAGGGUAAAACUGGUGACUGGGGCUAAGUCGU